rnacentral:tRNA from 1 species
UCCCUGGCGGUCCAGUGGCUAAGACGCAGUGCUCUCAAUGCAGGAGUCCCGGGUUUGAUUCCUGGUCAGGGAA